AACGCCCCCUGGCAAGGAGGAGAUCACAGGACUGAACCCAAGCAGGUGCAAUGGGUUGACUGACAUGUUUACACGCACACGCACCUUUCGUAUCUCCUUCCCACCCGAUAGCUAUCUGAAAUCAACAAGGAACUCAACCCUCCCCCACACCUCCACAUUGAGUUCAUUGUCUCAUCCGUCCUAUAAAUAGUCCACCACCCUCAUCCUCCACUUCCACCCCGCGGAUCGCCCACAGAUUCGUUCUCAGAGGCACUCCUCAUCCUCCUUGUUGCCCUCCUUGGAUAUUGGAGUUGCAUCGAGAUCGCUGGUCAGUUUUGCCUUCGCAUGCCGCGAUGAGGGCUCUCCUCGCUCUCUGCUUCUCCGCGCACCUGAUCCGGCUCGACGGAGUUGAGGGCUACGCGGAGGGAGCUCCCAAAGAUCAAUGCGUGGGGAUGACGCCGAUGCACGGCGCCAACAACUUCAAUAAAUCUCUGUUCUCCGUGAGCACCGCCGACCACACCUUCAACGCCAUCACCGCCGUGCAGGUCACCAUCAAGGGCGAGUUCACGGGUUUCCUGCUCCAGGCGCGCGAAACCGGCACGGCGAACAUCGUGGGGACCUGGGGCACGCCACCCAAUGGCACCAAGUACCUACAGUGCACGAACUCAAGAAACGACGCCAUGACUCACACCUCCAAUGACUCCAAGAGAGACCUGGUCUUUAAUUGGAUUCACCGGGCUCAAAUGCUCCUUCCUCCAUAGAGUUCAUAGCGACCGUCGUGAAGCUGUACAACGAAUGGCAGGGCAAUGUGACGUCACAAACACUCAAACCCUCAGGUUAUGGAAACCCAGCAAAGACCACGGCCAACGCAACAGCAGGAGGAGGAGGCGGGGGAGCUCCAACCACGACCAAUGCAGCAGCAGGAGGAGGAGGCGG